rnacentral:misc_RNA from 1 species
GUCUAAAUAAAUAAAAAAUUUUCCAUAUAUAGAAACGAUGGUGUAUAUGUGGAAUGGCAAUUGCCAAUAGUGCCAUUACAAUUGAUAUGUCAUGGUCUCACACUUUGAUAAUAGAUAAGAUAGUACAAUAAUUAUGGUUAAAGAAAACCAAUUAUAUCACUUAAAGCCUUCCAAAACUUCACUUAAUCCUCAACCCAAUGCCUACCCUGCUUUGUUAGUAUUACAACUUUCAGCAAACCCAUUUCAACUUUUUAUUAAAUACACCCUUAUAGACUUCCCUUUCAAAAUCCCACCAAGUAAGAAGAAAAACUUCUAAAUUACUUGAAUUAAGCAGCAGACUUGUACCUACAAAGAACCUUACACAUUAAAACCCUAUCCUGAACAUAAAACCCUGGCUUCACCAUGAUUUUAACCCGGCUUGGACCAUGUGAUCUUUGCCUAU